CAGAGGGUGCAAGCGUUGUUCGGAAUUAUUGGGCGUAAAGCGCGUGUAGGCGGCAUUGCAAGUCGGGUGUGAAAGCCCUCAGCUCAACUGAGGAAGUGCGCCCGAAACUGCAGUGCUUGAGAACCGGAGAGGAUGGCGGAAUACCCCAAGUAGAGGUGAAAUUCGUAGAUAUGGGGUGGAACACCGGUGGCGAAGGCGGCCAUCUGGACGGAUUCUGACGCUGAGACGCGAAAGCGUGGGUAGCAAACAGGAUUAGAUACCCUGGUAGUCCACGCUGUAAACGAUGAGAACUAGGUGUCGUGGGAGUUGACCCCUGCGGUGCCGUAGCUAACGCAUUAAGUUCUCCGCCUGGGAAGUACGGUCGCAAGACUA
rnacentral:rRNA from 1 species